CUGGCGCUUGGCGUGGCGCGCGCGGCGUUUGAAGCGGCGCUGCGCUAUGCCGGUGAGCGUCAGCAGUUCGGCAAGCCGAUCCGCGAGC
rnacentral:tRNA from 1 species